rnacentral:snRNA from 1 species
AGGAGGUUAGUGUAGUGGUUA